AUAAGUAUUGUAUAAUUAUAACCAUUUGCAAUGCUAACCUUAUCUAACACCCAGAAGAAACCACUGACUAUAGAUCUACUGGCGAUUCUGUCCAGAUUAUCAAUCUUCACCAUGUGUCAGAUCUCAAAAUAUCAGGCCACACCCAGCUCACCACACCCACAAACCUCCCGGCCAUUAACCUGCAGAAGUUGCAGCAAAGAUUGGAUCAAAAUGGUGUCGCUAAAUGGAAGAAUAUCGAGAGCCGAGGGGUGUGUGUUUCAGAGAGGCCCAACAACUGUUGCAUCUAGCCUUUUAAGUUUGUUACAGUGACACUCGGUGGAAGGGCAGUGAUAUAGUAAUAUUGAGUGAUGUCAGGAUCUCCCCUCCUUACACACCCGACAGUUGUACGGGUUCAAACAGUCUCCUGGCUAGGAUUCAGCAGCUGGUACAGAACUUUCAAGAGGACAAAAAGAACUAACUGAACUAUCUGUCUGUAGAUAUGAACUAUCUUGUAACUAUAGUAUAGUUAUACUGAACAUUUGUAUACCACAUAUUAUGCUUAAUUGUAUUGUAUCACAUGACGUGUUGUGUCUUAUAACUAGUCACAACUUGUACAUCGUUAUUUCCUAUACUUCCUCGUGUGUUAUUACAUGUCUAUAUAAUUA